GCAGCAGCCGCGGUAAUACGGAGGGUGCGAGCGUUAAUCGCAAUUACUGGGCGUAAAGCGCAUGCAGGCGGCGUGUUAAGCCAGAUGUGAAAGCCCGGGGCUCAACCUCGGAAUCGCAUUUGGAACUGGCAUGCUAGAGUCUUGUAGAGGGGGGUAGAAUUUCAGGUGUAGCGGUGAAAUGCGUAGAGAUCUGAAGGAAUACCGGUGGCGAAGGCGGCCCCCUGGACAAAGACUGACGCUCAGAUGCGAAAGCGUGGGGAGCAAACAGGAUUAGAUACCCUGGUAGUCCACGCCGUAAACGAUGUCUACUUGGAGGUUGGUGUCUUGAACACUGGCUUUCGGAGCUAACGCGUUAAGUAGACCGCCUGGGGAGUACGGUCGCAAGAUUAAAACUCAAAUGAAUUGACGGGGGCCCGCACAAGCG
rnacentral:rRNA from 1 species